ACACUCCUGCGGGAGGCAGCAGUGGGGAAUUUUGGACAAUGGGGGCAACCCUGAUCCAGCAAUGCCGCGUGAGUGAAGAAGGCCUUCGGGUUGUAAAGCUCUUUUGUCAGGGAAGAAACGGUGGUGGCGAAUAACUACUACUAAUGACGGUACCUGAAGAAUAAGCACCGGCUAACUACGUGCCAGCAGCCGCGGUAAUACGUAGGGUGCAAGCGUUAAUCGGAAUUACUGGGCGUAAAGCGUGCGCAGGCGGUUGUGUAAGUCAGAUGUGAAAUCCCCGGGCUCAACCUGGGAAUUGCAUUUGAGACUGCACGGCUAGAGUGUGUCAGAGGGGGGUAGAAUUCCACGUGUAGCAGUGAAAUGCGUAGAUAUGUGGAGGAAUACCGAUGGCGAAGGCAGCCCCCUGGGAUAACACUGACGCUCAUGCACGAAAGCGUGGGGAGCAAACAGGAUUAGAUACCCCGGUAGUCCCAUG
rnacentral:rRNA from 1 species